ensembl:snRNA U6 U6 spliceosomal RNA
UUGCUUUGGCAGCACACGUAUUGAACCUGUAUGAUCCAGAAAACAUCAGCAUGGCCUCUGCACAGGGAUGCGCCACAGAUUUUUGAAGUGUUCCGUGUUUUU